rnacentral:rRNA from 1 species
CCCCUAGACGUUCUGGGCUGCACGCGCGCUACAAUAAUACGCACAGCGAGUAUCACCGAGCUCGAAAGGGCAAGGUAAACAAUAGAAAAGGUACUGUAAUGGUUAUAGAUCCUUGUAAUUAUUGAUCUUCAACGAGGAAUUCCUAGUAAGUAUGUGUCAUCAUCACGCACUGAUUACGUCCCUGCCCUUUGUGCACACCGCCCGUCGCUCCUACCGAUUGGGUGAGCCGAUGAAACUCUCGGAUGUAGGCUAUUCAUAGCCCGCAGAAGAGAUUUGAAUCGUAGCGCUUAGAGGAAGGAGAAGUCGUAACA